UUAAGGGACAACAGAGAGCUGAAAGGAUUUUCCCCCAUCAAAGAUUCUGGGUUGGGGGCACAAAAAGACAGCAUGGAAAAACAGGAGGAGAGCCUGCCUGUAGAACAGACUGUAGUGGAGGGCCCUCAAAGGAAUAAAAUGAAAAGUGAGGAGACUGUUUCUGACAUGAACACAGCAUUAUCCUCUGAGGAGAUUCCAGCAGAAGACUUUCAACAAAUCCCUCUCAGUGUGUACCUAAAAGAGAACACAGAGACUGCCACAACUAAUGGAGUGCAUGAAGCUACCACCAAUGAGCUUGAAAAGAUACCUGUUGUUGAACAAACACCAGUUACUGACAACAUGAAAAACCUACCACCUAUUGUUGAUGAGGAGUUGUACCAGCCUGGCACUGAGAAAGAGAAUAAUAGAGCCUCUCCCGAAAAGGAGCCAUAUACACUGCAGACAGACAGGGGGGAUAAUGUUCUUGAUAAAGAGCCAUAUUUACCACUUGCUGGUAGUGAGAAUAACAACAAUGCCACUGACAAGGAAUUGUAUAUACCUGUUAUUGACAGGGAGAAUAACAUUGUUCUUGACAAGGCAUUGAGCAAAGCAGUUAUUGACAAGAAGGAGAAUGAAGAGAUUCUUAACAAGGAACAGGAUAUGACAGUUAUUGAGAAUGAGAAAAAUCUCCCCACUGUGGACACAGAGAAAUCCAUUCUUAUUACUGACAGACAGCCCAAGGACACUUUGACUCAUAAUAAUAAGCAGUACUGUGAAGUACGUCUGACUUUGUCCAAACCAAUGCCUGUGAAGAACCGAACAGCCAGACCUUUUGGGACUCAAUCAUUAGUUACAACUCAAAUACCAGCAGAGAAAAGCCCUGUGGUGGAGCUUCCUCCUCCACCUACCUAUGCAGAAACAUUUUCCAGUCCUCCUCCGGUAACUAGAGUCAGGUCACCUCCAGCUUAUUCAGCUCUGUACCCAAGUGAAGAGCAGAAAGCCUCUGUUUCACAAGUAGUUAACUAUGAAGACAGCAGACCAGGACUCCCAUCCAAAGAAGACAGAGCAUCACCUCCAACUAAAUCAGGCAUUCUGGAGGAAUCCAUCACCCACAGAGCUGCCAAAAAGUCCAUGUUUACCUUUGUGGAGAAGCCAAAGGUGGCUCCAAAUCCUGACCUCUUAAACUUAGUCCAGAGAGCAGAUAAUAGAAAAAAGCAGAGAGGAAUAACAGUUCCUGAGGAUGAGCCAUUUGCUCUGGGAGCAGAGGCCUCUAACUUUCUGCCUGAAAAUACGUUAGAUGGUCCAGCCCAAGCUACUGCAGAUAGUGUCCCUGAAUGGUCUUCAUGUCUGAGGUCACCAAGAAUACAACCCAAACCUAAGAUCAAAUCCAACCAAAACCUAACAGAGGCAAGAGGAAAGGGAGCAGAAUUAUUUGCCAGGAGACAGACAAGGAUGCAAAAGUAUAUCAUAGAGUCCCCAUCACACUCUGAUGUAGCAAGGUCACCUUCACCUACUAUUUCCCUCCCUCCCUCCUGGAAAUAUGCUUCAGAGACUCAUCUGUCCCCCAUGGCAUUCCAACCAUUACCCAAAAGUCCAGUAAGAUCUCCAAGAGCUCCCCCUCCUGUACCUUUAUACAACAGCAACAUGACAGAGAGUGAGAUUUCCAAAAAGGAGUUGGAAAUUUCCAAGCAACAGCCAUACCAGCUCCAAUCUUCCUUGUUCAUCCUUUCCCCAGCCAAGGAUCCAAUGAGGUCUUUACCGAGAGCAGCACCGCCACCAAAGCCUGUAGUCCCUGAACCCAGCUAUAUGAGACAGGCUUCUUGCCCAACAUCUCCCUUGCCACCUUCUCCUGUUUUGUAUCUACCUGUUCAGUCAAGUCCAAGCAGACCAUUACCUGGCCAUUUUGCUCCAUCUGCUGGACCUGUACUUGCACCUCAAAAUAUCACACCUGCUAGAGCACCAACAGACACAUCUGUUGAAUAUUCCUCCAGAAUUUUGUCUCCGAGAGCUAAAGGGGUCUACCAAGCUCCAAGGCCUUCUUAUUCCACCAAGGAUGCAGGAAUUGAGCCUCAGGAAAGAAGAGUGUCCCUCCCUGCUUCCCCAACGUGGAUUCCACAGCUGGUCAGACAGGCUAGCAGUUUAGAUGGUUGGGUGAGCCCUGCCCAAACACCAGAACCUGAGGAAGGGCAUAUGGAGGCCUUUCAAGCAGCCAGCAUCAUGACCCCACCUCCUAUGUCUCCCUCAUGGAGUGAAAGGUCUCUGUCCCCUUUCCGGCAGGAGACCGAUCCCAAGUCCAGCCGACAGAUGCAGGUAAUGCUGGCCAGAAACAUCAUCAAUGCUGCCAGGAGGAAGAGCUCUUCUCCUAAAGCCACAGGGAUAGACAUUUUCAGGCCUUUCACUCCCCCUGCCUCCUCUGCCAAUGUGUCGUACUCGGGUGGCAGUCCUAAGAACACUACCCAUUCCUCAAGCCCAGUGCAGUCUCCCAAGCCAACAAGAAUGGAAGGAUACAGACGUGUCUCUCUCCCAGUCACAACCACUACACCACCACAAGUCAGUGCAUCAUCAAACAAUAGCCCCAGAUUAAUGGGCAACCACUCCCCAAUUUAUAAAAGCCCACUACAGUCUCCAAGAGCUGUGAGGAUGAAUGGGAACAAGUACUUCACGCUGCCUGCCAACAGUGGGGCAUCAGUGUUUAAUGCGGCAUCCAGUAAUGGACCAAGAACAAUCGACAACCAUUCUAUGACCUGCAGGGAUCCAGCACCAUCUGCCAAACCCUCAGUCAUUGAUACUCACAGGAUCUUCACACCACCAGCAAGUGCAACCAGAAAAUCGUCAUGUACUAGUCCUAAGAAUCUUGACAACUGUUCCCCAACCAUCAAAAGUCCCCUGCAGUCUCCCAUGAUGGGAACACAUUAUCCGCCGGUGAAGCGCUACACCUCAAGUUCACCUACCAACUCAGAUGUGUCCAUUGACUCUGAAGACUCUGGGAUCAAGUCACCCAGUAUUCGCAGCUUCAACAUUUGUCCCCGAGGCUGGAAUGGAAGCUUGAGGCUGAAGCGAGGUAGCCUGCCUGCAGAAGCACCCUGUACCUCCUAAACCUGGGAUAACAGAAGUUAGCUAGGAAAUAGAUGAGAUCUGUUAUUAAAUAUUUCUGUAGGCCUAUAGCAUUACAACUACCAAAUCCUGCCAACCUAAUUAAGUAUCAGGAAGAAAGAGCUGGUUUUGUAAAGACAAGAUGUAAUUUUUCUUCUCAACUCUUACUGGGGAUUUUCAGUACGGGGUAGAACUUGUUCAUUUGACAGAAUAACUUAGGGCAGAGGUGCCCUAAAGUGAGGGAAAUGUGACUCUGACUCUACCCCCAAAGUACCAGAUUUUAGGAGGAUCCCUUUAGUUUCCUCCCAUCAUACAUUUGUAUGUGUAUUUGGCUUUCACACUUUUGAGUCAAUUGUCUCAGGAGUCAUCAGUGCCAUCUUUGUGAAAGGCUAAUUUGACUUGGAGUGCUUUUGUUUCCACUCUGAAAUACCCAUUUGGAGGAUGUCAAAGAUGGAACCUGCAAAUUGUCCUUCCCAUGGUAUAAUCCCCAGUAAACUGUCAGUGAGCAACCAGGAAAAGAGGCCCACCAACCUUGUGUCUGCCUUCCAUUGUAAUAGUUUUUUCCUGCACUCGAGACCUUGAGUCAGGCCUACCUCCAGUGGCCUGAAGGGAUGAGUCAAAAGCAGGGGAAGGGGGCAAGAAGCCCAUUCAAUUGUUAUCCCUGAUAGCUGAUCUGUAUGGUAAGAGCUGGCUUUACAUAAAUUCUAGAAGAAAAUAGCUAUGGCAUUCUCCUCUCUGGACCCAGAGUUGUGAUAAACUAACACCGAGAAUAAGAGCUGAGAGGGAGAACUGGAACGAGUUACAAAAAUAUGAAGUGAAGAUCUUUUACACAUGAAGAAUUCAAGCCAAUCUUCAGAAAGUUACCAGUGUCCAAGAAAAUCUGGAACUUCUUCUGACAGAUAAAUGAUUAUUAGCCAAGCAUGUGGAGAGAACACGAUAAACACCACAUGUCCUCAUACAAGGCUAACACCCCCAAAUCAGUGUCUGGUAACCAUUCUUUUUGUUAUGGGGAAAAAUAAGCUUCCUCUCUAAAGCUAGCACUAAUGAGUGAGUCGACACAGGAUGUUCUGUGUGCAGCAGGGCUUCUCUAUGCAGCAUAGGCCAAAGUGUGGAUCUGUUAAAAUGAGGAAGACCAUCAACAACUUCCUUCUGAGCUACACAUAUUGUUAAUGAGUUGGAAAGUGGACAGGGUUCUUAUAUUAAGCAAAAGCUUAUAAAGUGGUAAGUCUAGCCCCCCCCCCCGAACCAUUGUUUUAAAUAAGGGCUGAUUCUAGAUGAGAGUUUUUUUCUCAUGGUGGCCAUAUUACUGGUGCAAUGGCUGCUCAACUCACACUUGCAACAGAAGUUCUACACAUCAAAGAAUAAUCUGGUUUUUCACUCUAGUUAGCCAUGGUUUCCCUUUCACACCAGGUGCACUCCCCCCCCCCAUUGUUGUCAUGCCACCGUCAUGAUUAUGCACCCAACUACAUGGUUUUGUUGGUGUCAUCAAUUACACCAAGGCAAUUCCUUGUGAAAACGCAGAGGAAGAGGGCAAAGGAGGUGUUUCCUUUCAUUCACUUUCAUUCAAACACAAGAUGUACCUUCCCUGCUGGACACAUGGAAAGAUAAUUUCAACACCAUGCAAGGAAUUUUUUCAGGAUUUUUUUAAAGUGCAGUUUAUGGGGGAAAGGGGAG